AUUUUUUAAGAUUCAUUGGAUUAUAUAUGUAAUACAAUAUCAAAAAUACAAUGCCUACAAAAGGUAUUGGCACACUGUUGUAUUUUUUAAAGCAUUUACAUAAUAAUUAAUUAGGUUCAAGUAUAUUAAAUUUUGUAUUAUGUAAUAGUAAUUUCAUAUAACUACAAAAAUUUAAUAUUUUAAAAAUGAGGUGACAAUCCUGAUAGAAAAAGAGGUUUCAUUGUAUAUCAACUUUUUUGUUUAUUUGGAACAUUAAAUUAUGAGAGUUUUACAAUAGGAUUAAAAAUUGUAGACACAGAGAAAAUCAAUUGAAAACGAGUUUAAAUGUAAGAGGAAGUCCGUGGUGCUCACUGUCAUGAAAGGAUCCACUCUUGCUUAUCAGGUUCCUCCAGCUACUUUAACAAUAAGCCCUUAGAAUCACAUUCUUCAAGAUCCUAACUCUAUUCGCCAAAAAUUACUAUUAUUGAAUUUCCACAUAUAAAAGAAUGAAAGUACAAUACAAAUAUUAAAAGAUAAAUAUUGUUCAAAAUGAAAUAUAAUUGUAAAUACGUGAUUUUCUGUAUCGCAUUCAUGGUGUGUUUUUCAAAAUAUUUACUAUGAUUUAUUUCAGUGUGAAUACAUAUACGUAUAUGAUUUAUUUUCGUAUAAAAGUUUAUGACUGCUUAAAGAUGUACGUGACGUAGGUCAAUAAUCGAACUAUAAAUUAAUAUUCGCCUAGAAAUGUUUCCAGUCACUCACAUCGCAAUUUUUUGGAAUUUCCACACAAAAAGAAGUGUAAUUUAAAUAAAAUGAUUUUUUAUUUACAUCAUAGAAAUAUAUUCUAUUACUAGAGGGCAAUAAUAUAGAACAAUAACAUUUCAGCUUAUGACGUUCCGUCACUUAAUUAACAAUUUGCGAAUCUGGAAGUACAAAUUGAUUUUCUAUGUAGGACAGAUGAUGUAUGAAAUAUUAAAAAUGAUUAUACUAUUUGUAUCUACUCGAGCACGUUGGGAAGACACGUGGAUGGAAUAUUAAGAGUACCAAUUAUAACCUUUUAAUAGCAAUAAGAAAGAUAUAUGAGUUUUUGAUACUUUUUAGCUAUAUUUUCUUACAGGUAUAGUAUAUAUUAGUAUGCUUUUUAUAGUAAUAUUUAGAUUGCGAAUAUACAUGCAUUUAUAAGAUCUUUAAAAGUAUAAAAAUGUACAAAAUGCACAUAAUAUCUAAAAACAUAAGAAAUAUUUAAAAUGAAGUACAUAGUUGUUACAUGUAUCCCUGAAUGGGUAACUUAUGUUAAUAAAGAUGUAUAUAAAAGUGUAUAAAAAUCCAUAAUCUAGUAUAUUGUUCAAGUCUGUACAAUUACGCUACUAAUGCUGAAAAUGAUUUCUAUAAGCUUUCAUUUAAGAUGAUGAGAAAUUUAGAUAUCUUUAUGAAAACUUCAAAAGAAAAAUUGGCGAUGAAUCUUUUUUAUGAUAAUAGCGAAUGUGAGAAUUGAAAUAUGUACCACAAACAUACUUUCACGCACAUAUUGUCGAUGCAAGCGUACGUUGACGAAUAAGGGGCCCUGUACGUAUUUUGUAUUAUUCGUGCAGCUAAAUACAGACAAUGCGAAUGGUCGUCUGUUUAAGUCAAUUACUAUAACCAGCGUCAUUCCAGGUAAUCUCGACUAUCUCGUAGGUUUGCUGCACAUUUAACAGUCAGCAUGCAGUCAUCCAACUAUUAUGUCAUUCGGAACCUAUAAGAAUAGAUCUACAACAGUGGUUCUCAAAUUAUUCUUUAUGAAUUUGGGAGAUGAAAAUUAUAACACAAAUCAGUCCACUAUUAAUUUUUAUAAAACGACAUUCUGCAUUUAUUAUUAUAAAAAUUUAUAUUUUUACAACUCAUGAAAACUCGUCGUAACAGUAAAUAAAAUUAUAACAUAAUUUAAUUAAGUACAAAACUAAAGAUAUAAUACGUUUAAAAAUUAACAUAUAUAUAGGAUUGUGUGAAUUCAAAUUCUUAAAAUCUUAAUCUUAAUUUAUAUUACCAUGAUUUUGAGUUUGUCAAUUUUAUUAAGAAUCGAUUUCGAUCAUUUUCCUAUAUAUCGAAAAACAUAACCUAUAAUAUAAAUGAUACUCUAAAGUUUAACAACCAAAUUUUCUAAUUAUACUCCAUGACUAUGAUUAAUAAAAGAAUAUUAUAUAAACACAAAAUAUUGAGUUUAUUAUUCUAUGAAGCUCAUUCUUGUUUUAUUUAAUAAAUUUUGUUUUAUUUAAUAAAAUUAUGCACGUACAAAAGUUCAAUGGUUUAUUCUUUAUGGUUGAAAAUCACUGCUGUACAAUUUCAUGAAUGUAAUUGUAAUAUAUUUUCGAUCGAUAAAUCAGCGUAAAAACAAUUGAUUGUGAAAAACAAUUUACUUGAAAAUGAAUGACCUUAGAAAAAUCGUAUAUGGAGAUUCGUUGACUGAAUGAGUCAUUCUACUUUCCAAAUCUAUUGAUUGUGGCAUUCAUGACAUAUGAUCCAACAUGAUUGCACGUGCACAAUUUGUCUAUGAUUUUCAUCCAUGAAAAUCUCGUGAACCUAAGAAACUUCCUUACUACGUUAUAUAGAGUAAGGGAGUAAAAGAAGUCCAUGAUAAAUUCUGAUUAAUUUUUAAUUGAUCAACUGUAUUCUUAUCAAUUACGGUCUCCUAAGGUUAUGUUUCUCUUAGCUAUAUGAAAAAUGCAUUAAGAUGCUAAAAACGAAAAUCUAAUGAAGGUAAAUCUAGAACAUGUACGUUGCAUGAUGAUGAGAAGUGAUCUCCUACUCCACAUAAUCAACAUGUUUUGCUUAUUACUAUUUUACGUUAGCAAGAAAAUUCAUUAAUUAAGUUAUUAUAAUGUAACAUUUGUAAUUAAAAGGUGGUAUGAUUAAAACAUUUUGAGCAUUACUAUGUAAAAAGUAGUUAAUUUAUAUUCAUUAUUUGAUUUAUUUAAACUUAUGAAACUUACAUUACUAUGUAAAAAGCAGUUAAUUUAUAUUCAUUGUUUGAUUUAUUUAAACUUAUGAAACUUCAUACUCGUUUAUAUAAAUGUGUGUUUUAGUAUUUUUAAUAUGUAAAUAUAUGUAUAGUAUGUUAGAUAAAAAUGUUGCCCCUCCAACAAUUUAACUUUUUCACAAAACUGAGCAGUGAAGCUUGACAACCGUUUUUCUUGGUUCGCGAACUAUGAAUUACUUGUAGUUGUUACAAGUGCAUCUUGCUUUUAUUUCCCAUUUAGAUGUUAAAUUGAUCGAAUAAAAAUGUAUACUUCACUUGUUUUGUUAUAGAAAAGAAGAAAACAGUGAAUCCGCUUUGUACAAUGAAUAUUUUAUCUGUUAUUCUAAAACAAUUUUGUAAAUAUUAAUAAAUAAAUUAACACAAAAAAUAUCAUUUUA